CUACGUGCCAGCAGCCGCGGUAAUACGGAAGGUCCAGGCGUUAUCCGGAUUUAUUGGGUUUAAAGGGAGCGUAGGCCGGAGAUUAAGUGUGUUGUGAAAUGUAGACGCUCAACGUCUGACUUGCAGCGCAUACUGGUUUCCUUGAGUACGCACAACGUUGGCGGAAUUCGUCGUGUAGCGGUGAAAUGCUUAGAUAUGACGAAGAACUCCGAUUGCGAAGGCAGCUGACGGGAGCGCAACUGACGCUUAAGCUCGAAGGUGCGGGUAUCAAACAGGAUUAGAUACCCUGGUAGUCCGCACAGUAAACGAUGGAUGCCCGCUGUUGGUACCUGGUAUCAGCGGCUAAGCGAAAGCAUUAAGCAUCCCACCUGGGGAGUACGCCGGCAACGGUGAAACUCAAAGGAAUUGACGGGGGCCCGCACAAGCGGAGGAACAUGUGGUUUAAUUCGAUGCAACGCGAAGAACCUUACCUACUCUUGACAUCCAGA
rnacentral:rRNA from 1 species